CGAUAAACAGCCUUUCAUAGAGACAUCAAAAAGGCUUUCAACUGUGAUGAUCUUUCUAACUUAACGAUUUCUAAAUAAAGUGAGGUGUGGAAAACAUGGAAACCGCAGGGUUGUAGACAGCAUCUCACAAAUGAAGAAUCACAACAACAACAACAAACGGAAUCACAACAACAAACGGAAUCACAACAACAAACGGAAUCACAACAACAACAAACGGAAUCACAACAACAACAAACGGAAUCACGACAACAACAAACGGAAUCACAACAACAACAAAAGGAAUCACAACAACAAACGGAAUCACAACAACAACAAACGGAAUCACAACAACAACAAACGGAAUCACAACAACAACAAACGGAAUCACAACAACAAACACAAAAAAGAAGCAUCCUCUGAAUGUAAUUCAACUGAAAAUUGAAUCUCUCCUGUAUCUGAGACCAGGGUGUCUCUUAUCACUCCUGUAUCUUGUCAGACAGGGACAGACAAGAGUAGGAGGGACAGAGAGAGACAGACAAAGACAGACAGAGACAGGAGGGACAGACAGGGACAGACAGAGACAGGAGGGACAGGCAGGGACAGAUAAGGACAGGAGGAGCAGACAGGGACAGGAGGGACAGACAGGGACAGACAGGGACAGAGAGGGACAGACAGGGACAGACAAGGACAGGAGGAACAGACAGGGACAGGAGGACAGACAAGGACUGGAGGAACAGACAGGGACAGGAGGGACAGACAGGGACAGGAGGGACAGACAGGGACAGGAGGACAGACAGGGACAGGAGGAACAGACAGGGACAGGAGGGAAAGACAGGGACAGGAGGGACAGACAAGGACAGGAGGAACAGACAGGGACAGGAGGGAAAGACAGGGACAGGAGGGACAGACAGGGACAGGAGGGAAAGACAGGGACAGGAGGGACAGACAAGGACAGGAGGAACAGACAGGGACAGGAGGACAGACAAGGACAGGAGGAACAGACAGGGACAGGAGGGACAGACAGGAACAGGAGGGACAGACAGGGACAGGAGGGACAGACAGGGACAGGAGGGACAGAGAGGGACAGGAGGGACAGAGAGGGACAGACAGGGAUGGGAGUGUUACACAGGGACAGACAGGGACAGGAGGGACAGACAGGGACAGACAGAGACAUGAGGGACAGACAGGGACAGGCAGAGACAGACAGGGAUGGGAGUGUUACACAGGGACAGACAGGGACAGGAGGGACAGACAGGGACAGGAGGGACAGACCGGGACAGGCAGAGACAGACAGGGACAGACAGAGACAGGAGGGACAGACAGGGACAGGAGGGACAGACAGGGACAGACAGAGACAGACAGAGACAGGAGGGACAGACAGGGACAGACAGAGACAGGAGGGACAGAGAGGGACAGACAGAGACAGGAGGGACAGAGAGGGACAGACAGGGAGAGGAGGGUUACACAGGGACAACAAGGACAGCUUAGUGGUUAGAGUGUAGAGGUGGCAGGUAGCCUAGUGGUGGCAGGUAGCCUAGUGGUUAGAGUGUAGAGGUGGCAGGUAGCCUAGUGGUUAGAGUAUAGAGGUGGCAGGUAGCCUAGUGGUUAGAGUGUAGAGGAGGCAGGUAGUCUAGUGGUUAGAGUGUAGAGGUGGCAGGUAGCCUAGUGGUUAGAGUGUAGAGGAGGCAGGUAGCCUAGUGGUUAGAGUGUAGAGGAGGCAGGUAGCCUAGUGGUUAGAGUGUAGAGGUGGCAGGUAGCCUAGUGGUUAGAGUGUAGAGAUGGCAGGUAGCCUAGUGGUUAGAGUGUAGAAGUGGCAGGUAGCCUAGUGGUUAGAGUGUAGAGGUGGCAGGUAGCCUAGUGGUUAGAGUGUAGAGGUGGCAGGUAGCCUAGUGGUUAGAGUAUAGAGGUGGCAGGUAGCCUAGUGGUUAGAGUGUAGAGGUGGCAGGUAGCCUAGUGGUUAGAGUGUAGAGGUGGCAGGUAGCCUAGUGGUUAGAGUGUAGAGGAGGAAGGUAGCCUAGUGGUUAGAGUGUAGAGGUGGCAGGUAGCCUAGUGGUUAGAGUGUAGAGGUGGCAGGUAGCCUAGUGGUUAGAGUGUAGAGGUGGUAGGUAGUCUAGUGGUUAGAGUGUAGAGGUGGCAGGUAGCCUAGUGGUUAGAGUGUAGAGGUGGCAGGUAGCCUUGUCUCAGGAUGUUAAGUUGGUGGUUGAAGAUAACCCUCUAGUGGUGUGGGGGCUGUGCUUUGGCAAAGUGGGUGGGGUUAUAUCCUGCCUGUUUGGCCCUGUCCGGGGGUGUCCUCGGAUGGGGCCACAGUGUCUCCUGACCCCUCCUGUCUCAGCCUCCAGUAUUUAUGCUGCAGUAGUUUAUGUGUCGGGGGGCUAGGGUCAGUUUGUUAUAUCUGGAGUACUUCUCCUGUCUUAUCCGGUGUCCUGUGUGAAUUUAAGUAUGCUCUCUCUAAUUCUCUCUUUCUCUCUUUCUUUCUCUCUGAUGACCUGAGCCCUAGGACCAUGCCUCAGGACUACCUGACAUGAUGACUCCUUGCUGUCCUCAGUCCACCUGGUUGUGCUGCUGCUCUAGUUUCAACUGUUCUGCCUGCGGCUAUGGAACCCUGACCUGUUCACUGGACGUGCUACCUGUCCCAGACCUAAUGUUUUCAACUCUUAAUGAUCGGCCAUGAAAGCCAACUGACAUUUACUCCUGAAGUGCUGACCUGUUGCACCCUCUACAACCACUGUGAUUAUUAUUAUUUGACCCUGCUGGUCAUCUAUGAACAUUUGAACAUCUUGGCCGUGUUCUGUUAUAAUCUCCACCCGGCACAGCCAGAAGAGGACUGGCCACCCCUCAUAGCCUGGUUCCUCUCUAGGUUUCUUCCUAGAUUCUAGCCUUUCUAGGUAGUUUUUCCUAGCCACCGUGCUUCUACACCUGCAUUGCUUCUUUUAGGCUGCGUUUCUGUACAGCACUUUGAGAUAUCAGCUGAUGUAAGAAGGGCUAUAUAAAUACAUUUGAUUGGAUAGACAGGGACAGGAGGGACAAGGACAGACAGGG
ensembl:lncRNA